GACGUAGGGUGCAAGCGUUGUUCGGAUUUAUUGGGCGUAAAGGGUGCGUAGGCGGUUUGGCAAGUCUCGUGUGAAAUCUUUGGGCUCAACCCAAAGUCUGCAUAAGAAACUGCCGGGCUUGAGUAUGGGAGAGGUGAGUGGAAUUUCCGGUGUAGCGGUGAAAUGCGUAGAUAUCGGAAGGAACACCUGUGGCGAAAGCGGCUCACUGGACCAUUACUGACGCUGAGGCACGAAAGCUAGGGGAGCAAACAGG
rnacentral:rRNA from 1 species